GGUCAAGUUACUAAGGGCGCACGGGGGAUGUCUUGGUAUCGAGAGGCGAUGAAGAGCGUGGAAGUCUGCGAAAAGCUUGGGGGAGUCGACAAACAGGUUGUGAUCCCAAGAUGCUCGAAUUAGCGUACACUGAAUUCAUAGGUGUGCGUGGCCAACCCAGGGAAUUGAAACAUCUUAGUACCUGGUGGAAAAGAAAGAAAAAUCGAUUCCGU
rnacentral:rRNA from 1 species